rnacentral:lncRNA from 1 species
CCCACUUAACGUGGUGCCCAGGUGAUUCACAUGCACUGUGAAGUUUGAUCAAAUGCUCUGGAUUGCCCCUAAACCAAAGCAUCUCCAUCAAGUUUUCUACCUUGUCCUCUGGGGCAAAUAAGCAAGAAAAUAAUCUCUUUUCUCUCAGUUUCCUUAGGUUUUGAUUUCUCUAAGAAUAAGUACAUUGUAAUAUGAGGAAUUUGACAUAUGAUCUAGAAAUUAGAUUGCUAGAUUCAGCAAGUAUAAAUACGCAAUACCCAGUACAGUAUAAUUUCAGAUAAACGACACAGAAUUUUUCAGUAUAAGCAUAUCCAUAUGAUAUUUGGGACAUACUUAUGUUAAAUCCAGAGCAUGCAAUAUUUGGGACAUACACAGACUUAAAAAAUGUAUUGUUUAUGUGAAAUUCAACUUUAACUUGGUUUAAAAAAAUUCCACUAGGUAUCUUAUAUUUUAUCUGGUAAACCUAUCUAGAAAGGAUUGUUUGGGUUCCAUAUUUUCUGCUGAAACCUUCACAGGAUUUCUCCUUUUUAGGCACUACAGUUGUGAUGAGGCAAUUGCAACAUUUGAAAAGACCCCAGGGAGUUUGCAUUAAAUGCGUUUCACAAGAGUGAAUGAUGGAACAGAACACCAUGUACAAAGACACAGUCAUCCAACACCCAAGCACAAAUGGCACAAGUUAAACAUGUGACGGCUUGAUGUAUGACAGGUAAUUUGUUUUGCACGUCCAUUUCCAUUUACAUAUGAACUUAAAAACUGUUUACAUUGCUUUUAGGAGUUGCAUUUUAAUAUGCUGGUAUGCUAUUUUUCCCUUCAAGAGAAAAAUUUCAUUUAAAUGUGACUAGUUACUUGGAGAAAAUAGGAUUAUAUAUUCAGGUUUUAUUAUUCCACAAAAUGAAAUUAUUUUGUUUCACUUAGAAUGCCUAUGACGUAAACCACCCUUCACAUCUAUCCAUCUCCACUCUUCUCAAUUUAAAUCAAAUUUUAAAAAAGAAAGAAAAAUGGUUUUUAGCCUUUUUUUUUCCCAUUCUGACUCUUUUAUUGCAUCUUGGAUAUAUUUGACCAAUACAAGCAUAUUUAUACUUCUCAAUCCAAAUUAUAAUCCCCUCUACCUAUUCAUUCCUAAGGUAUAUUUAUUUCUUAGGACAUCAGCAAAGAAUUAAACAGUAUUCUCAGAUGUGCUGGUCAUUCUCUCUGUCAUGAGUUAACUUAAUUGAAAUUAGCCUAAAGAUAUUAAUGUUAUCUGGAAAAAUGAACAUGGGAGAAGAGUUAGGAAAAUUUUGGAAAAAAAUAAUUGGAAAGAAGGUGACCCUUAUUACCCAAUAUUAAAACAUAUUAUGAAGCUACAAUAAUUAAAAACAUUCAGUAAUGGAGAAUAAAUAGGUUAAUAAAACAUAAUAAAAUAUCCAGAAAUAGACCUAAAUAUAUAUGGGAACUUAGUUUAUGAGAAAGCUGGCAUUUCAAAUUAGUGAGAAAAAGAGGGGUUAUUCAUUCAGUGAUAUUCAUACAAGUGGCUAACUGGAAAAAAAAUCAGGCCAGAUAGCUACCUCAUUUUUUACCCCCAAAUACAAUCCUGCUUAUGACAUAUUUACAUGUGAAGGAGAAAAAAAAAAACAAUUCUAGAAGAAAUCUCAGCUAAAUUUAUUUAUACACUUUAAAUGAGAGUUUUCCUAAGAAACCUAUAAUCCAAAAAAGAAACAUAUAUUUCUUUUAUAUGUAUUAAAUAUAUAUAUUUAAUUACAUAAAAUGAAAAUCUUUUGUAUGAAAAUAAAUCACAGAGUGGGAAAACUAAUAACCACAAUAUGCGGCAAAUAUAACAAAUGGCAAAUUUCUUUAAUUUGCAAAGAACUCAUACAAAUCAGGUGCCAAAUAGAAGAAUGGGCAAAGGCUAGGGAAGCACUUUACAGAAAAGGAAAUAUAAAUAGUGAGUAAACAUAUGAAAAGAUGUUCAAACCCAUAAUUAUGGAAAUACAGAUCAAAGCAAUGAGAUUUUUUCCCCCACCAAGCAGAGUGGAAAUUUUUAAUGUUUGAUGAUAUCCAGAGCUGAUACAGGCUUGGAGGAAAUAAAGGGGGUCUCUCAUACAUUUUGCAGGGAGAGUGCACUUUUCUGAAUGAUAAUUAAGCAAGAUGUCUGAAAAUUUAAAAAGCACAUGCCUUUUACGUCACCUGUGCUACUGCUCAGAAUCUAUCCUAUGGAGAUGCUCUGAAAUAUUCACCAAGAUAUAUGCACAAGGAUGUUCAUUUAAAAAUAAUAUUAAAAAAUGGGAAACCACCAAAGUGUCCAUUCAUAGAGAAUUAGUUUUAAAUUAUAAGUCCACACAAUGGGAUUGUAUGCCGCUAUUUAAAAGUCAUUAAAAAGAAAAAGGAGACACAACAUGUUAUCUGGAAAAGUUACCAAGAUAUAUCAUUAAGUUCAAAAUGACAGCAACAAAAACCAAGUACAGAACACCAUGACUAUAUGAUCAUCACCUAUGUGAAAUAAAAACCAACACAAAUCCAGGUAGAUACAUCAUACUUAUAUGUAUCUCUGUGUGUACAUGUGUGCAAGUGUGUGCAUACACAUGUACAAACAUAUAUUCUGCCCCUACCCCAAGAAAUUAUUGGAAGGUGAUUACAAUGGAGAUCUGCCCUUUUAAUGUGGUGUCUUUCUGAACAAUUCAAUUUUUCUAACAUUAUAGCAUCUGUAACUUUUAUUUAUUCAUUGAAUGUCUAUAGAAGCAGAGAAAACAAUGGGCCUUGUUUUCUAUGGUAAAUCCUGGUAAAACACUGCAUUUCACAUAUAAAAUAAAGAAAAAAUCAUUUUUGUGGCCUACCUCCAAAUCACUUUCUUAUUUUUCAGCUGAUUACAGGAACUCCAUGGUUUUGAAAUUAAAAGCAGUUAAUGCCCUUUAUAUUUGUAUAUUUAAGAGAAAAAUUCCUGGUCUUGAAUUAAAAAGCUAAUUUCCAAAAGAAAUGACAAAGAAUCACCCAACCUCUCAAUUUAAAAAAAUCUAGAUGAAAAGAGGUCACUGUCACCCAGAGGGGGGUUCAGGUUGUUCUGUUGGCAUCCUUCAAGCACUUUAAAUUAUUAAACAAACUCAGAUCUACAGCACUUUUCAAAUCUUUCUGAGCAGUCCUUCAACCUAACAGUGCCCUCUUCUGGUUCCAUAAAUUACAUUCACUGUGGUUCACUGAGGUAGAGAAAAAGAAUAAUUUAUAGAAGACGAUAGGAAAAUUCGCAUUGAAAUCUGGGAGAAAAGAGUUGUUUUCCUUGUUAGCAUAUAAAAGCAAAAGUCCAGUUUAAAUAAAAUGUAUAUAAUUAUUACCUAUUAUACAUGUACUAUAUAUGUUAAUUUGUGUGUAUAUAUUUAUGAUAUAUGGUAUACUAUUUAUAUAAUUUAAUAUAUAAAAUACAUAGUAUAAAAACUAAUAUCAUGCAUGAUCUAAAUAGUCCAGUUUGAUAGCAGCGGCUCUAAGUUGGAACUGUUUUGAUCUCAAGUCAAAUAUUUAUUAUAAAUCUAAACUACCUGGGUUUGAUUAAAUUUUUAUUUCCCAUUUUAUUAAUAGGCAUAUUUAACUGAAUUUACUAAAUCUAUAGCUAUAAAACAAAUUACCUUCAAUUUUUAUUCUCAAAGUUUUCAGUCUUGCAGAGAUUUGAGAUCCAUGUAAAAAGGCAGUAAAAACGUGACUUCACUUUGAGAAAUAGUCAUUCUUGAAUUUCACACUCCCUAUCUUCACUCCAAUUUUUUAAAAGAGUUUCUGACUGAUGAAUCUGCACUAAAAGGUCUUCUGCUGUCUAGGUGACCCACCAGAAGGACUGUACUCAUGAUGGAGAAUGAGGAAACAUUCCGAGGCAAGCCACUGGCCAUUUUCAGAUUUUCUAAACAGCGGCUAGGCAACAGCACCCCCUGCUGCCCCGCAAACUAACAUGCACCUUCCACAGUAGGAGGCCCGGAUGCAAGACGGGAAAGCAAGCAGGCUUCUCACUUACUAAGGCAGCAAAUAAUUUGUUAAGCGCAUAUUGUUACUAAGAUAUUGUAGAGGUGGGAGGUGGGGAAGAAUCCACAGAGAAGUGGAACCCUCAUUGUUGUCUCUCAAGGAACUUUCCAUUCAGUUGGGAACACAUAUGACGUAAUGAAACUCCUGAAUGUAGGGCGUGGAGACAUUGAUGAGUUGGUGCUCGAUCUGAGAAACAGUGGAGAGCCGCUCUCCACAUUUAACCAUCCCCAAAUGGUGCCAGUCGUCUAAAGACAUGCCUGAACAAGUGACAGUGUUUGACAGACCUUAUAUCUCCUUUCUAUCACACCAAAAUCUCUGUAGUGAGCUCAGGCAAUGUUUUGACCUGCUGGUGUGCUGAUGCACUUCAGGAUAAAAAGAAUUGGUCCACAUUGUAGCAAUAACUUCCAGGAAGAAACGAGUGACAGUGAGACCUCACAGACAAAGCCCUCCAGAAUUUCCAAGAGGCAUUUUUCAGCACGGAACGAUGCCAAAAGACAUCAUGAAGUUGUGUCUGGAGAGCAAAGCAGAUUGGACCAGAUUAUCUCUACAAUUUCUUCCAGUGCAAACACUCUGUGAAUGAAGGCACUUGCCUUCUCUCUAAACUGGAAGCCUCUUGAGGGCAGGACUGCAUCUACCUCCUCUCUGUACCCCUGCAGCACCCAGUACAGUGCCCAGCAAUGGACUGGAACCAAACCAGCAGAGCAAAACCAGGUGAGAGGAUACCUUGAGGACACCUUCAGCAACCCAUCUGAAACUAGAUAGCUGUCCUCUGAAAGGCAGCUUUUAUAUAACUAAGAUCACAUUGCAAUGAUGCCAAAUGUCUGAGAAACUCUUGGAAUUACACAAGGAAUUUAAAAAUAUGCAAUAUCAUUUGAAAACCAGCAGGAUACAGAGGGACAGGAGAAACAGAAAGGAAGACAGUAGAAAAGAGGAAGAGUUCCCCAAUCAAAUGCUAUUUAUUAGGAUUUCCCUCUUAUCCAGUAGUUAAAUGAAAUUUCUACAUCAAAGAAAAUCUCUGAGCACUCAGUAAUUUGUCUCUCCAGGGAACGGGAAUUCAGGCGGCUUUUAAAAAUAUCAUGGGGCCCAGCUAAUGUCCAGAAGUCAUCAUUAGAGAGCUGGAGUAGGUUAGAAGGAUGAAGUUUCGUUUGUCAGCCUCCUCCUGGUUCUCUGUAAGAGCCAUCAGUGGAUCCCGCCUAGAAGGGCUUAGCCCUCUUGAAGGGAAAGGCGCCAGCUUUGGAGCCCAGCGGUUGUCUGGUGGAUUUUAUUAUUAGAUUGGAGGUUCCACACAAUGUAAUUAAAGCCCUAUGGCCAUAGCGGCACCAAUGUCACAGGCCUGACUUUUUCUAUUGCAGCUGAUAAAUCUGCAGGCAGAUGGACAAUGUUCUCUUUCCUUUUGCCUCUGUGUGUGUGUAGGAAGAGAUGUGGAUGGACACAUCCCUCAAAAUCAUUUGGCAAGCACUAAUUCAGUUGAAAUGAUGCUUGGCAAGCUCUAGUCAUAACAAAGCAGCCUCAGAAAGGCCU